rnacentral:rRNA from 1 species
UACGUAGGGGGGCAAGCGUUGUCCGGAAUUAUUGGGCGUAAAGAGCGCGUAGGCGGUCCGGUAAGUCGGUUGUGAAAGUCGGGGGGCUCAACCCUCGGAUGCCGAUCGAUACUGUCGGGCUAGAGUCCGGAAGAGGCGAGUGGAAUUCCUGGUGUAGCGGUGAAAAUUGCGCAGAUAUCAGGAGGAACACCCAAUGGCGAAGGCAGCUCGCUGGGACGGUACUGACG